rnacentral:lncRNA from 1 species
UGAUUAUAUAAAAUUUGGAGUGGCCUGUCAUACUUCUGGAAGCACGGAGCCCUCCGUGCUUCCAAGUUAUUUUCGAUGUUCAGAGUUUUGAAUCCACGAUCGGCUCCGUUAGAUUUGAUCUAGAGUAUUUGAAAUAUCUAAAAAAUAAAUUUUGUAAUUUUUCGACAUCAUUUGCCUAGUGAUCCAAAGGGCUCAAAAUUAAUAAUUUUAACAGCCGUUGUGAGCCGUUUGCAAGUUUAACGGUGUAGAAAUAUUCAAAUCACAUGAAAUUUUGAUAGAAAAUUUUUUAUACUAUAUAAAACAAGAUCAAUAACUUUGAUCUAAAAUUUUAAUGUCAUAUCAUCAUAUUUUGUAAGAUUUUUAUUUUCAGCCGUUGAUUUUGAGCCACUUCGAUCACUAGGCGAAUGAUAUAAAAAAAUUAUAAAAUUUAUUUUCUAAAUACUCUAAAUACUCUAGAUCAAGUCUAAUGGAAUCGAUCGUCGAUUCGAAAGUCCGAACAUCAAAAACAACUUGAAAGCACGGAGCGCUCCGUGCUUUCAUAAGUAUAUCGGACGCACUCUAAAAUUUGAUAUUUCUUUGAAUGAAAAUUUGUAGGGCUAGAAUAAUAGUAGUUUCGUAGGGCUGAGCAGAUGGUUAGUAAAAUAGCAUGAUUUAAAGAAUGAAAUUGAUAAAAAAAGUAGGUAUAACGUGAGAAACUUACAAGUACCAAAUACUUAGUAUUUUUAAAAGCAUAAGAGCUCAAUCCUAUAUGACUUCGGCUAUGAUAUUUUUAAAAAUAUCAAACACUUGAAAGGUGCUUAUAAGUUUUUCACCCUUAUAUCAUAU